rnacentral:rRNA from 1 species
GUCUAUGGCCAUGCCACCCUGAACAAGCCCAAUCCUGUCUGAUCUAGGAAGCUAAGCAGGGUUGGGCCUGGGAGACUAUCUAGGCAGAUCAGGUGCUGUAGGCA